CCAAUAGCGUAUAUUAAAGUUGUUGCAGUUAAAAAGCUCGUAGUCGAAUUUCGGGAUUGACGUGAUGGUCAUGCCUUAAGGGGUAUGAACUGUCGCUGUUGAUUUCUCACCUUCUGGAGAAACUUGAUGUCCUUUAUUGGGUGUCUUGCGGAUCCAGGACCUUUACCUUGAAAAAAUUAGAGUGUUUAAAGCAGGCAUUUUUGCUCGAAUACAUUAGCAUGGAAUAAUAGAAUAGGACGGCAUGGUUCUAUUUUGUUGGUUUCUAGGAUCACCGUAAUGAUUAAUAGGGAUAGUUGGGGGCAUUAGUAUUCAAUUGUCAGAGGUGAAAUUCUUGGAUUUAUUGAAGACUAACUACUGCGAAAGCAUUUGCCAAGGAUGUUUUCAUUAAUCAAGAACGAAAGUUAGGGGAUCGAAGACGAUCAGAUACCGUCGUAGUCUUAACCAUAAACUAUGCCGACUAGGAAUCAGACGAUGUUAAUUUUUUAAUGACUCGUUUGGCACCUUACG
rnacentral:misc_RNA from 1 species